AAAUGUAUUUACUGACACUGUGUACAUUUUGUGCCAUUUCUGAUGUCUUUAACAGUUGUUUUGUCUGUGUUUUUCAGGACUAUAUUCCUGUGCGGAUGGAUUAAAAAACUACUCCAGACUGGUAGAGACAUGACAUAUGUGUAUUGGAAAUAUAAACAUGGACUUAAAACUUUGAUGUGUAGCAAAAAAGUUCAUCGUUGAUGAUAGUGAUUUUCUAAGCUAUAUUGACUGGAACAGGGCCAUUCUUCAGAAAUACAGAGCUGUCAAUGCUGCAAUUUUGUUGUGAAAGUCACAAUCCAUGUCAGAAGUUGCUUGUUUUACUAUACAGCCAAGAAGAAGAAAUUGUACUGGGCCGACACCUAUAUGGGAAAUAGUUAAUUUUGAAUAUCUCAGCAACCAAAGGGUUUACAGCAAUGAAACUUCACACACUAGUAGCUGAUAACAAUAAAAACCAGUGGCUAAAAGGAUUUUAUCAAGUUGCAGGUGAUGAAUUCCAUGGGUUGGUAGAAACUUAGAAUGGUACCACCAGUCACCAACACCCACUAGACCAGAGCAAACUAUCGAGUCGUGUGGACAGAAGCUGCAGUUUCCAGCGUAGCACUGUAUAGUAGCUGCUCUUAUUGUCGAUCCAGCUGUCGUGGUCGAAGUUCGGGUUUCUUUGGGCAGCCCCUAUCCAGCUGGUCUUCACUUACAGCUGAACUACAUCCAGGAUCGGUUGCAGCCUUAGAAGGAAGAAG